UAUUAUUAUUGAUGUAUUUGUUAUUAUUAAGGUAUUAAUAGUUAUGUUCUUUAAACUUAAAUGAUUUGGCGGUGUUUUAGUCUUUUCAGAGGAAUCUGUUCCAUAAUCGAUAUUCCACGAUUUAUCUUACCAUUUGUUGUUAUCAGUUUGUAUAUCUCCGUUAUCGGAUUAUCUUUUUAGAGUUAAUUUUCUUUAUUUUGUAUUAAAAAGUAUUUCAGGUCAAGGUGCAGCUAAUCAAGUGGUUGGAAAUGGAUUACAAUAAAUUUAUUUAUAAUGGAUAUUAAAAUUAAAAUUUUAAUUGAAGGUGGAUUUGAAUGUAAAUUUAUUUUAUAAUAAUAGUUUGAUUUUAGCUCUAAAACAUGUACACAUCGCCCGUCGCUCUCGUUAAUAAAAUGAG
rnacentral:rRNA from 1 species